UUCAUCGAAAAAAACUCGCACCUGAAAAAAAUCUACGAAAAUUAACCUACGCCCCGACCGCCGCCCGCGGGUCGCCCGCUCCCUCGCGCCCCUGUUGCUCCCUCCUCGAUCCCGAUCUGGAUCGAGGGGACGAGGAGCUCCUGCCUCCCCGAGACCCCGACGGCCGGCCUCCUCCUCGCCCCGCCGCUGCGUCCGGCGCCGCCACGGCCUCUGGAGCCAGGGAAGCCAUGGCCUGAGCUCGGCCUCGAGGUCCCCGCCGCCGUCUCCUGCAGCUUCUGCCCCGCCGCCUCACCGCCCGAGCUCGCCGUCGCGCCGCCGCCGGCUCUGGUCGCCUCCACCUCCGCUCCAGGCAACCCUCGGUCGCCGGCUCGCUGGAGCACGACGGCAGACGAUGGAUGCCUGGUUGUGUGCGACGGAUGCAGUUCUCACGCGCAAGCUAGGGUUGGAGCCGCCAGCUCUUCAUCCUGCCCGCCGGCGGCGAGUCUUCCCUUCCCGUACUGCCGCCUCCCCGUUAUCACAGGUUCAUCUGGUCCUUUACUCCUCACAUAAUAACUGUGAAACUUAAUGAGGAACUUCUGAAAAAUGCUCCCUCCCCUCUGAUGUCUAUUUGGUUACUUAUGCUUGUGUGGUCUGGUUGUUCCUAAGUGCUUUCGGACAUUAUUAUUUGUGUGAUCAGCAUUGAGUAGAUUGCCUGCGGCAAGAUAACUUGAGUUUUUUUACUUAAGUAAACGAUACGUAAAUAGCUCUAAGUUAACUGGACAUUUUGUCGCAUUGGCUUGAAUCUGCAUGUUGCAUCAUUUGUGCACAAUGAAAACUGUAUGAACCUGCAUUGGAUGGUGUAUUUGUAGGAAGGUUAUCCUUUCUUCAAGGACUGGAAGUUUCUUGGUAAGUGUUCCUUUUUCUUAAAAACUCUGUGUUUGUUCGCUGUAAUAUUUUGUUUACAUCAGGUUUCUCUUUCCUUUUGUGGGCAUAAUGGGCGAGACAAUAAUAUUCAGAGAGUUGUUGUUUUAGGGAAACUUCUAACUCCAUAUGUCAGACCCAUAUCAUUGUUGAGCAUGCAUAGUGUUCCUAUGUCAUUUCUAUGAUGUAUUUGUUUCCUUUUAUAUCACAGUAGUCUUCAUUUUGGCCAUGUACCUUCAGACUGAACCAAAAAUGGUUUGUCUGAUGACAUGUUUGAGGAGAUUCUUGAUAUGAAACAGUAGAUAUGAGGGUGACCGUUUUUUUUGCAAGUUUUGUCCGUGGAAUCUUUUUGCAGUUGAUAAGACAUGGGCUGGACUUACUUCCGAUCUGCAAUAUUUUCGGUAAAGUGAUUCAAGGAAACAAACAUCCACUGUGUCAAUCACUCAAGAUGGUGCAUGCAGUUUUCCUGAAAGUUAAGUCUGAGAGCCUGCUCCUACAUAAAGCUGGGUGACGGGACGACGGCCAAUUUCUGGGAGGACAAAUGGUUGCCGGGUGGGCGUUCCGUCUAAGACCUGGCGCCAACACUGCUCACUUUUGUGCCCAAGAGCACAACUAGUCAUCUAUGGUUUGGAUGGGGCUGGGUUCCUACAACGACGGCAACAGAGGCGACAAACACCACUUUGCAACCUCGCCGAACUGUGUUGCUGAACUGAAGUUUAGGGACAGCAGCAGUUUUACCACCGAUGGUGUUGCAUGUAAGCUGGAUGUUCUCAUUGUUCUGUUGGCUUUGAUCGGUGUGUAUGCUAUGAAGUUAAGGUUCUUAAGAUUAAUGAUGUUUAUAGAAGUGAUGCAGGAUGUGAGGUACAACUAUCAAAGUGACAUUAAUUUUGGUUGUGAUUCCUAUCCGCAGCCUCUUCUACACUAGAGAAGGAAAACACUCGACGAUCUGGCUCUGUCUCAGGUAUAUGCUCCCUCGCCCGCAAGAUCCGCUCUCUCCCAUCUACGCAUCGCAACAGCACUUCAGCUCCUCUUGUGGAUUCUCACCAGAUCAGGCCACCUCACUCACCUUCAGUCUGUCGUGAUGGACAAAGUUAAGAUCCCAACAAAAAGUGCUUCUUGAUGCUAUGAUGCAGCAACUUAACCUUCCAAAUUACAGUUUACUAAACAGACCUCGCCGGCAGAUCCCUCAGCUAUCAGGGAAGGCAGCCAUCAGCAGAGAUUGAGGGCGCCUCUCCGGCGAGAGUGCUCAUGUCGUGGUGGUUUUCCACCAGCAGCGUGGGGGAGGCGGUGUCCUCUGCAGCUAGGUCUACUUACUGGCGACCUCACCAUCACCAGCCCACCUGCAGAGCAUUUGUAAAGGGCAGUUGAUCUUCUCAUUGGUUUCAUUGGCGUUGUAUGCAAGGUCUCAAAAGGUCUGCUGUUCCUGGAUGAUAGCUGCAUAUGAGGAUGUACGAAGGAUUUGGCUGCGAACUCAAUCAGACCAUUGGAUUGAAGCUGAAGGGGGCAUUGCAAAGAUACGAAGGAACGGCCUUUCGUUCAUAACCUGGUCAGCUACACAACAUCUGGUCGUACAUGUUUCUGUUGCAGCGGCCCAGUAACGUGGAGAAGAAUGGCAUACGCUGAGGAUUGUGUCAGCUGAUUUUCUAACUCAUGUUUAGCUCAUGGAUUCUCAUUUAUCUCUUCAAUUUACACAAGGAGGUGCAUUAUCAGCUCUUAUGUAUUUUCUUAAUAACCGUUGAUAGGAAUGACAACUAUGUUGAGAUGUGGUAGACCAUUGAAUGACUUUUGGUCCAGAAUGAAAAAUAGAGGCAUAAUUAUUGUAAUUUUGUUGCUGCUAAUUUCUUUCAAACGAAGCAUGGCUUCUAAUCCACAAAUCACGCUAACUAAUGUUCAUCACUUCAUAACGCCUAUAAGAAGUAUCUCUCCUUA